GACAGAGGGUGCAAACGUUGCUCGGAAUCACUGGGCGUAAAGCGCGUGUAGGCGGGCGAUCAAGUCAGUUGUGAAAUCCCUGGGCUCAACCUAGGAACUGCAUCUGAAACUGGUCGUCUUGAGUGUCGGAGAGGGAAGCGGAAUUCCGGGUGUAGAGGUGAAAUUCGUAGAUAUCCGGAGGAACACCGGUGGCGAAGGCGGCUUCCUGGACGACUACUGACGCUGAGACGCGAAAGCGUGGGGAGCAAACAGG
rnacentral:rRNA from 1 species